CGGACGGGUGAGUAACACGUGGGUAACCUACCUAUAAGACUGGGACAACUUCGGGAAACCGGAGCUAAUACCGGAUAAGAUAUCGAACCGCAUGGUUCGAUAGUGAAAGAUGGUUUUGCUAUCACUUAUAGAUGGACCCGCGCCGUAUUAGCUAGUUGGUGAGGUAACGGCUCACCAAGGCAACGAUACGUAGCCGACCUGAGAGGGUGAUCGGCCACACUGGAACUGAGACACGGUCCAGACUCCUACGGGAGGCAGCAGCA
rnacentral:rRNA from 1 species